GACUACCCGGGUAUCUAAUCCUGUUUGCUACCCACGCUUUCGUCCCUGAGGGUCAGUUGUGUGCCAGCAGACCGCCUUCGCCAUCGGUGUUCCACCUGAUAUCUACGCAUUCCACCGCUACACCAGGUGUUCCGUCUGCCCCUCACACACUCUAGCCCGCCUGUUUCCACCGCAGACCCGGGGUUGAGCCCCGGGAUUUCACGACAGACUUGGCAGGCCCCCUGCGGACCCUUUACGCCCAGUGAAUCCGAAUAACGCUCGCCACCUACGUAUUACCGCGGCUGCUGGCACGUAGUUAGCCGUGACUUCCUCUCCCGGUACCGUCAUUGUUUUCGUCCCGGGUGACAGAGGUUUACAACCCGAAGGCCUUCUUCCCUCACGCGGCAUCGCUCCGUCAGGCUUGCGCCCAUUGCGGAAGAUUCUCGACUGCAGCCCCCCGUAGG
rnacentral:rRNA from 1 species